GUGAGGAAUAUUGCGCAAUGGAGGCAACUCUGACGCAGCCAUGCCGCGUGCAGGAAGAAGGCGCUACGCGUUGUAAACUGCUUUUAACCGGGAAGAAACCCCAGGACGUGUCCUGGGUUGACGGUACCGGAGGAAUAAGCACCGGCUAACUUCGUGCCAGCAGCCGCGGUAAUACGAAGGGUGCAAGCGUUAUCCGGAUUCCUUGGGUUUAAAGGGUGCGUAUGCGGGGCGUUAAGUCAGUGGUGAAAUCCUGCAGCUUAACUGUAGACUUGCCAUUGAUACUGGCGCUCUUGAGUGCGCUUGAAGUGGGCGGAAUGUGCCGUGUAGCGGUGAAAUGCUUAGAUAUGGCACAGAACACCAAUUGCGAAGGCAGCUCACUAAGGCGAUACUGACGCUGAGGCACGAAAGCGUGGGGAUCGAACAGGAUUAGAUACCCGUGUAGUCC
rnacentral:rRNA from 1 species